rnacentral:rRNA from 1 species
AAACGGAACUUUUCGAGCUCGGCUCGACUCUCCCACCCUUUGUGAACGUACCUCUGUUGCUUUGGCGGCUCCGGCCGCCAAAGGACCUUCAAACUCCAGUCAGUAAACGCAGACGUCUGAUAAACAAGUUAAUAAACUAAAACUUUCAACAACGGAUCUCUUGGUUCUGGCAUCGAUGAAGAACGCAGCGAAAUGCGAUAAGUAAUGUGAAUUGCAGAAUUCAGUGAAUCAUCGAAUCUUUGAACGCACAUUGCGCCCCUUGGUAUUCCGGGGGGCAUGCCUGUUCGAGCGUCAUUACAACCCUCAAGCUCUGCUUGGAAUUGGGCACCGUCCUCACUGCGGACGCGCCUCAAAGACCUCGGCGGUGGCUGUUCAGCCCUCAAGCGUAGUAGAAUACACCUCGCUUUGGAGCGGUUGGCGUCGCCCGCCGGACGAACCUUCUGAACUUUUCUCAAGGUUGACCUCGGAUCAGGUAGGGAUACCCGCUGAACUUAAGCAUAUCAAUAAGCGGAGGAA